rnacentral:rRNA from 1 species
AUUGAACGCUGGCGGCAUGCUUUACACAUGCAAGUCGAACGGCAGCGCGGGCUUCGGCCUGGCGGCGAGUGGCGAACGGGUGAGUAAUGCAUCGGAACGUGCCCAGUAGUGGGGGACAGCCCGGCGAAAGCCGGAUUAAUACCGCAUACGACCUGAGGGUGAAAGCGGGGGACCGAAAGGCCUCGCGCUCUUGGAGCGGCCGAUGUCGGAUUAGCUAGUUGGUGGGGUAAAGGCUUACCAAGGCGACGAUCCGUAGCUGGUCUGAGAGGACGACCAGCCACACUGGGACUGAGACACGGCCCAGACUCCUACGGGAGGCAGCAGUGGGGAAUUUUGGACAAUGGGGGCAACCCUGAUCCAGCCAUGCCGCGUGCGGGAAGAAGGCCUUCGGGUUGUAAACCGCUUUUGUUCGGGAAGAAAUCCUCUGGGCUAAUACCCCGGGGGGAUGACGGUACCGGAAGAAUAAGCACCGGCUAACUACGUG